rnacentral:rRNA from 1 species
UACGAAGGGGGCUAGCGUUGCUCGGAAUCACUGGGCGUAAAGGGCGCGUAGGCGGCCAUUCAAGUCGGGGGGUGAAAGCCCAGGGCUCAACCCUGGAAUUGCCUUCGAUACUGUUUGGCUAGAGACCGGAAGAGGUAAGUGGAACUGCGAGUGUAGAGGUGAAAUUCGUAGAUAUUCGCAAGAACACCAGUGGCGAAGGCGGCUUACUGGUCCGGUUCUGGACGCUGAGGCGCGAAAGCGUGGGGAGCAAACAGG